UACAGAGGUCCCAAGCGUUGUUCGGAUUCACUGGGCGUAAAGGGUGCGUAGGUGGUGGGGUAAGUCGGAUGUGAAAGCUCGGAGCUCAACUCCGAAAUGGCAUUGGAAACUACCCUGCUAGAGGAUUGGAGGGGGGACUGGAAUACUUGGUGUAGCAGUGAAAUGCGUAGAUAUCGAGAGGAACACCUGCGGCGAAGGCGGGUUGCCUGGGCUGACACUGACGCUGAACUGCGAAAGCUAGGGGAGCAAACAGG
rnacentral:rRNA from 1 species